rnacentral:misc_RNA from 1 species
ACAAACCCUACUUCUGAUUCAUCACCAAAAUCAAAUCCUUCCUCUUUAAAAUCUUUCGCUUAGAUCCCCUGGUUCUAGCUGCUCUUUAACUCUUUAUCUCAACUCAAACAUAUACCACCAAAAUGAGUGUGGAAGUUUUGGACGGUGCCACCAUUGUCAACUUUGUGGAGGACGAGGAAGCAUUCACUAUGUCAAUACGUGAACGUUUUGCCCACCUCGACAUUGACCAAGAUGGUCUGCUUUCCUACACAGAAAUGUUAAAGGAGCUGCAGAGUCUGAGGGUUUUCGAGACUCACUUUGGG